GGUUGUGGCUCAGCGGUAGAGUGUUUGCAUGGCAAGUGUGAGGCCCUGGGUUCAAUCUUCAGCACCA
rnacentral:tRNA from 1 species